GACGAACGCUGGCGGCGUGCUUAACACAUGCAAGUCGAGCGGUAAGGCCCUUUCGGGGGUACACGAGCGGCGAACGGGUGAGUAACACGUGGGUGACCUGCCCUCAGCUCUGGGAUAAGCCUGGGAAACUGGGUCUAAUACUGGAUAUGACUCCACGGUGCAUGUCGUGGGGUGGAAAGCCUUGUGCGGCUGAGGAUGGGCCCGCGGCCUAUCAGCUUGUUGGUGGGGUGANGGCCUACCAAGGCGACGACGGGUAGCCGGCCUGAGAGGGCGACCGGCCACACUGGGACUGAGACACGGCCCAGACUCCUACGGGAGGCAGCAGUGGGGAAUCUUGCGCAAUGGGCGAAAGCCUGACGCAGCGACGCCGCGUGAGGGAUGACGGCCUGGUG
rnacentral:rRNA from 1 species